rnacentral:rRNA from 1 species
GGGAUAAGCCCAGCACCGAAGCCGAUGGAAUAUUUUCAUACGGCAAUGUGGUGUUUCAGCGUUGCAGCUGCUGGUAUGCACGGUCGUCUAAUUCGUCUUGAUUGCUCUUGCCCAUCGAGGGUGAAAGUCCUUUUGAGACGGCAUUCGUAUGCAUGCCAUGCUUUGCAAUGCUGUUGAGUCGGGCUGCUUGAAAAAGCAGCCUAAAGUAGGUGGUAAACAUCACCGAAGGCUAAAUAUGUGCGCGGGACCGAUAGUUCACAAGUACCGUGAGGGAAAGUUGAAAAGAACUCUGAAAAGAGGGUUAAAAGUACGUGAAACCGCUAACAGGUAAACGGGCAACGUCCGCAAGUCCUCCAAGAAAAUCCAUGCCUUCCCAGCUUCAUUUUACUUGAUCUCGGUUUGUGACUGAGGCCAUGCUUGUCGGUUAUAUCGGCUUACAUCCGCUCCGGGUGCAAGUCCCUAGUUGACACUUGGCUUCGGUGCGUUGUUGUCAUAAACGCCGAGAUCAUGAUCUUAUGAUUAUGUACCAGGGAGGGCUGUACCUUUUCUAGGAGGUGCGUCGCAACCGUCACUUGGAUGACCAGACGAACGAAGAGAGCUGCGGUAGCUCACCAUGGCUCGUUCUCGUGCCAACUUUGGUGUUCAACCGUUUACAAACUUCGUUACUCAACGAAUGGAGCAACACGCCACGCCCUGGCUUUAACACUCCAAAUGAACGUCAACAGGUCUUCAGUGACGACAAAUCAAUUCAAUAUUCCAUGCGGYUGAUUGAUGCGCUUACCCAUGUAUACGCUCGWUCUCAAGCUGGKUGCAACAAAUACGUGUUCGUCGAGUAUGUUUCCCUUGCGGKUACMACUCGAAAARUUGUUUUGGAGCUUUCGUAUAACGAAAGCCCGGCAAUCGAUCACGAAUGUUACACAUGCGCGAAGCAUGUUGUUGUAAUCUUCAGACUGAAAUACCGUUGGARCUGGUACGCCUCAACCGUGGGGCAACCAACCUCUGCUGUUUGAUGUGAUCUCAACGGUUACGUCAAGCAUAACUCAGGAUGAAUCGAUUGCGGCGAGUUGGCGACUUCGUUUCCCGCCCCGUUUUUGGGAAAACCCCGGAACCAAGGGAGUGUAGCAUGUGCGCGAGUUGGAUGGGCCAUCAACCCCUCAAGCGCAAUGAAAGUGAAGACGAAUGGCUAGCAUGGAUGCGCGUGCUUCCGCAUGUGUAUACAUUGCUGCCACCGUUGAGACGCGAUACUUGGCUUAACCAGUGUCAAGUGGCAGCGUCAACCCGCAUUAUUCGGCAUCAUUCCAUGUUUGCACCGGCUUCUGCUGAUGUGAGCAUGAGUGGUUGUCCUAGAUUAUGCGGAGUUAGAGCGUACAUGCUGCGACCC